CACAUGCAAGUCGAGGGGCAGCACGGUGUAGCAAUACACUGGUGGCGACCGGCGCACGGGUGCGUAACGCGUAUGCAACCUACCCAUAACAGGGGGAUAACACUGAGAAAUUGGUACUAAUACCCCAUAACAUCAGGACCGGCAUCGGUUCUGGUUGAAAACUCCGGUGGUUAUGAAUGGGCAUGCGUUGUAUUAGCUGGUUGGUGAGGUAACGGCUCACCAAGGCAACGAUACAUAGGGGGACUGAGAGGUUAACCCCCCACAUUGGUACUGAGACACGGACCAAACUCCUACGGGAGGCAGCAGUGAGGAAUAUUGGUCAAUGGACGCAAGUCUGAACCAGCCAUGCCGCGUGCAGGAAGACGGCUCUAUGAGUUGUAAACUGCUUUUGUACGAGAGUAAACGCUCUUACGUGUAAGAGCCUGAAAGUAUCGUACGAAUAAGGAUCGGCUAACUCCGUGCCAGCAGCCGCGGUAAUACGGAGGAUCCAAGCGUUAUCCGGAUUUAUUGGGUUUAAAGGGUGCGUAGGCGGUUUGAUAAGUUAGAGGUGAAAUACCGGUGCUUAACACCGGAACUGCCUCUAAUACUGUUGAACUAGAGAGUAGUUGCGGUAGGCGGAAUGUAUGGUGUAGCGGUGAAAUGCUUAGAGAUCAUACAGAACACCGAUUGCGAAGGCAGCUUACCAAACUAUAUCUGACGUUGAGGCACGAAAGCGUGGGGAGCAAACAGGAUUAGAUACCCUGGUAGUCCACGCAGUAAACGAUGAUAACUCGCUGUCGGCGAUACACAGUCGGCGGCUAA
rnacentral:rRNA from 1 species